rnacentral:misc_RNA from 1 species
GAUGAAGAACGCAGCGAAAUGCGAUAAGUAAUGUGAAUUGCAGAAUUCAGUGAAUCAUCGAAUCUUUGAACGCACCUUGCACCCUUUGGUAUUCCGAAGGGUAUGCUCGUUUGAGUGUCAUUGUACUCUCACACUUCUAAUUCCUUUCGGGAUUGGGAGCGGUGGACUUGGGUGUUGCUGCUUUAGUUGUGGCUCACCUCAAAUAAGUUAGUGCAACUCUUGGUUGGACAUAGUACGGCGUGAUAAGUGUCUUCGCCGGCGCCUCUGUAAGGAGGGUGGCCGAUCGGGAGCUCUGUGCUUCAAACCGACUUCGGACAAUCUUUGACAACUUGACCUCAAAUCGAGUAGGACUACCCGCUGAACUUAAGCAUAUCAAUAAGCGGAGGA